GCCAUAACGAAUUAUAUUACAAAUUAUUUGCUGAAAAACAAAUCAAUUUGUUGAGGCAAAAUGCAUGACAAAUUUAGCUCCUGAAGACAGUUCGGGACACCCCGCACAUAAUCAGCGUCUUCGAAUCACUCGCCGGUCGCCGUGAUUUUGCUGCGAAGCAAGGCUUGGGUAGAUCGUAAAAGUUUCUUGCAGAGUUUCGCAGGAUUCAUGGUGAGGACCUAAUCACACUGUUCAACCAAGGACUACAAAGACUGGCAGAACCCCUUUCUGGACUUCACAAAGAUAGAUGCAAAUGAGCCAAGAAAGAUGUGACAGUUUACUUCCCGGAAGCUAAGAAGAAAUUGCCAUACAGAUUCUACCAACCUUUUUCAAGGAAGACCUGGUGAUAUAUUCAUCUCAAGUGACAAGGUUGAUACGAAGCCCAUGUACAUACGUGUAUCCUGCAAUCAAGAGGAAUCAUAUGAGCUUGUUCUGGAGGAGCAAAGAGUCUGUCAAGUCCAGGAUAAAGUGCAUGCAUUGGCUUGUUAAGUAGCUGGUUUUUAUUUUUCAUUCAGCCUAUGGCUGUGAGCCAUCAGUCAUGAAAAUUCGUGAGUUUUGCCAACUUGGAAUUCUUCAGGUGAAAGAUG